AGUGAACGCUGGCGGUAGGCCUAACACAUGCAAGUCGAACGGCAGCACAGUAAGAGCUUGCUCUUACGGGUGGCGAGUGGCGGACGGGUGAGGAAUACAUCGGAAUCUACUUUUUCGUGGGGGAUAACGUAGGGAAACUUACGCUAAUACCGCAUACGACCUACGGGUGAAAGCAGGGGAUCUUCGGACCUUGCGCGAUUGAAUGAGCCGAUGUCGGAUUAGCUAGUUGGCGGGGUAGAGGCCCACCAAGGCGACGAUCCGUAGCUGGUCUGAGAGGAUGAUCAGCCACACUGGAACUGAGACACGGUCCAGACUCCUACGGGAGGCAGCAGUGGGGAAUAUUGAACAAUGGGCGCAAGCCUGAUCCAGCCAUACCGCGUGGGUGAAGAAGGCCUUCGGGUUGUAAAGCCCUUUUGUUGGGAAAGAAAAUCAGCAGGUUAAUACCCCGCUGUUCUGACGGUACCCAAGGAAUAAGCACCGGCUAACUUCGUG
rnacentral:rRNA from 1 species